rnacentral:tRNA from 1 species
GCUUGGGUGGCUCAGUUGGUUAGGCAUCUGACUUCAGCUCAGGUCAUGAUCUUGCAGUUUGUGAGUUUGAUCCUCGCAUCAGGCU